rnacentral:rRNA from 1 species
AGUGAACGCUGGCGGUAGGCUUAACACAUGCAAGUCGAACGGCAGCACAGUAAGAGCUUGCUCUUACGGGUGGCGAGUGGCGGACGGGUGAGGAAUACAUCGGAAUCUACUUUUUCGUGGGGGAUAACGUAGGGAAACUUACGCUAAUACCGCAUACGACCUACGGGUGAAAGCAGGGGAUCUUCGGACCUUGCGCGAUUGAAUGAGCCGAUGUCGGAUUAGCUAGUUGGCGGGGUAAAGGCCCACCAAGGCGACGAUCCGUAGCUGGUCUGAGAGGAUGAUCAGCCACACUGGAACUGAGACACGGUCCAGACUCCUACGGGAGGCAGCAGUGGGGAAUAUUGGACAAUGGGCGCAAGCCUGAUCCAGCCAUACCGCGUGGGUGAAGAAGGCCUUCGGGUUGUAAAGCCCUUUUGUUGGGAAAGAAAAGCAGCAGGUUAAUACCCCGCUGUUCUGACGGUACCCAAAGAAUAAGCACCGGCUAACUUC